UCAGGAUGAACGCGGCGGUGUGCCUAAUACAUGCAAGUCGAACGCGUUGGCCCAAAUUGAUUGAUGGUGCUUGCACCUGAUAGAUUUUGGUCGCCAACGAGUGGCGGACGGGUGAGUAACACGUAGGUAACCUGCCCAGAAGCGGGGGACAACAUUUGGAAACAGAUGCUAAUACCGCAUAACAACGUUGUUCGCAUGAACAACGCUUAAAAGAUGGCUUCUCGCUAUCACUUCUGGAUGGACCUGCGGUGCAUUAGCUUGUUGGUGGGGUAACGGCCUACCAAGGCGAUGAUGCAUAGCCGAGUUGAGAGACUGAUCGGCCACAAUGGGACUGAGACACGGCCCAUACUCCUACGGGAGGCAGCAGUAGGGAAUCUUCCACAAUGGGCGCAAGCCUGAUGGAGCAACACCGCGUGAGUGAAGAAGGGUUUCGGCUCGUAAAGCUCUGUUGUUAAAGAAGAACACGUAUGAGAGUAACUGUUCAUACGUUGACGGUAUUUAACCAGAAAGUCACGGCUAACUACGUGCCAGCAGCCGCGGUAAUACGUAGGUGGCAAGCGUUAUCCGGAUUUAUUGGGCGUAAAGAGAGUGCAGGCGGUUUUCUAAGUCUGAUGUGAAAGCCUUCGGCUUAACCGGAGAAGUGCAUCGGAAACUGGAUAACUUGAGUGCAGAAGAGGGUAGUGGAACUCCAUGUGUAGCGGUGGAAUGCGUAGAUAUAUGGAAGAACACCAGUGGCGAAGGCGGCUACCUGGUCUGCAACUGACGCUGAGACUCGAAAGCAUGGGUAGCGAACAGGAUUAGAUACCCUGGUAGUCCAUGCCGUAAACGAUGAGUGCUAGGUGUUGGAGGGUUUCCGCCCUUCAGUGCCGGAGCUAACGCAUUAAGCACUCCGCCUGGGGAGUACGACCGCAAGGUUGAAACUCAAAGGAAUUGACGGGGGCCCGCACAAGCGGUGGAGCAUGUGGUUUAAUUCGAAGCUACGCGAAGAACCUUACCAGGUCUUGACAUCUUGCGCCAACCCUAGAGAUAGGGCGUUUCCUUCGGGAACGCAAUGACAGGUGGUGCAUGGUCGUCGUCAGCUCCUGUCCUGAGAUGUUGGGUUAAGUCCCGCAACGAGGGCAACCCUUGUUACUAGUUGCCAGCAUUAAGUUGGGCCUCUAUUGGAACUGCCGGUGACAAACCGGAGGAAGGUGGGGACAACUCCAAA
rnacentral:rRNA from 2 species